CUUAAUUGAUUGAGGAAGAAAUAAAGGAAAGAUUUGAAUGAAAUUGAGGAUGGAGUUAAAUCUUCAAAUAAGGGGUUAAAAAUAGAAAAGGGGGGAUGGAAAUUUGAAGGAAGAGGAAGGGAAGAACUCGGCUAGGGCUUGCAAGUGUUAGGAGAAAACACUACGAGGAGAUCAAGGUACGUGGAUAUAUUCAAUUCUUUUACGUACGUACUAGAAUAUUUUAGUAUGAAGUAUUGCUAUUAAAAAUGAAAUGAAAUGAUGUAAGGAUAUGAAUGAAUUUUGGUUUACGGAUUGAAUCUCCAUUGGGAGAUUAGAGGCAUCGUUUCGUACAACAAAGUUGUUGUUCGAUUGUUUUUUUUUGGUUCAAGGGAAGUUAAGUUUUUUUUUUCUUUUUCUUCUGUUUAUUUUUAUGUUUUCUGUUCCUGUUUUUCUGUUUUCUGGUCUUUUGAUUUUCUGUCUUUUGAUUUUCUGUUUGAUAUUUCAGUAUUUUUGCUGGGUAAUAGAAGAAAUGAACUUCUCGUCCUUGUGAUUUAAGCGCUAUUUUAGGUUUUUGCCAUCUCUUGAGUUGUUGGUUUCUGAUUUUUGUUUUUUAAAUUAUUUUACUAGACAACAAAAAUCCUUAUGAACACGGGACUAUAAUCGUGGACUGGGCUCCCAAGGUCUCCAAGUUCAGGAUUUGCGUUGUCCUAGGACUAGUAGCUCAUGCAUAAGCUUUAGACACCCAAAUGGGACACCCACAUGGUCGAUUUUAACCAAUAAAAUCAAGAGAUGGGUCUGAAUAGUUGGGUGGGUUGUUUGAGGUUAAGCCUCAACUCUAUAGACCUACCACCUAUUCCAGGGUGGUAGUCAAGUAAAUUUAAAGGUCUACGUUUUGUUUUCAAAGGUUGAGUUAAACGAACGAGAGCUAAAUUAAACUCAAACUUAGUCGAUUUAAAAGUUUGUUUAUUAAUGCAAACCGUUUCAUUUCUCGAGGAUUUAAAUGGCAUUUCGGGUUUUAUUUCAAUUUUGAAUUUUCUUUGGAUCUAAUAACUAAAAGUGUAAAAGGAAAAUCAAUGAAAUCUAAAGAACCUUAACCCUAAAUUCAUCAUCGAAAGGGGCGGGUCGAGCCAGUUCUUGGAAUGAUACUUGACCUGAACUAUUCCCAUCCACCAUCGGGUUAAAUCCUAAAGGAAACCAAACCUUGAAGUUAGGGAUUUAGUGGUGAACGACAAAAGGAGAAGAUCGAGCAAGUCCUCCUGAUGACACUCAAUCUAACCUUCUCUCUAUUCACUGAAGAUGCACCAAGGUUACGGACCAAGAUUUGGAUUGAGUGGAUCACUCAAUCUCUCCUCACUCAUGCUCAAUCAUACGAAAUUUACGGAUCCUUAGGGAUUUGACGACACAUGAAAUGAAAGGAACUUAACGGUCCUGACGAGACUACAUGACCCGACGGGGUCUGACGGCAUGGCGAGGGUUUACUCGAUGACACAUAUAAAGGAAAAGGGGGGGGGUUCAUAAGAACCUCUAUUGGUAACCAAGGAGGGCUAAUAUGCCCUAAAAGAAAUUCAUGAACCAUAAGAUUUAUUAUAUAUUCAAGUACUAAGUUUUUGAAACUUACCCAUGUAAAUGAUAUUUUAUUGCAGAAUAAGGGAUGGCUUGGAAUGGACUGGUCAGAGGGUUUCACACAUGAAUGGGAUCCUAGGAUAUUAGUUAAAUAAAGAGUCUAUUUGGUUUCCUCUAGUACUUUGAUUUUGUUGUGUACGCCCAUUCGGGUAUAUGAAUCUUGGUUGUUUGUUUAAUUAAAUUUGGGAAUAACCCUGUUUAAAUUAAGAAAAUUCAGGUUAUUACAGAUAAGGUCCUAAAAUGUGGGCCAAACUACAACUGCACUUCGACAGGGAGUGGUACCUCACCAACAUACAAGAACGCCUGGGAAUCCAUAAGGAAUAGAAAAGAGAUCGACCAAUUUUGGAAGGGGGUACGGACCACUAGCAUUAGGAAAUUUAGCAUAACAUUAUGGAGGGC
rnacentral:lncRNA from 1 species